CCUACGUGUGGCAGCAGUGGGGAAUAUUGGGCAAUGGGCGCAAGCCUGACCCAGCAACGCCUCGUGAAGGAAGAAGGCUUUCGGGUUGUAAACUUCUUUUCUCAGGGACGAAGAAAGUGACGGUACCUGAUGAAUAAGCCACGGCUAACUACGUGCCAGCAGCCGCGGUAAGACGUAGGUGGCAAGCGUUAUCCGGAUUUAUUGGGUGUAAAGGGCGUGUAGGCGGGAGCGCAAGUCAGAUGUGAAAACUCAGGUCUCAACCCUGAGCCUGCAUUUGAAACUGUGUUUCUUGAGUGCUGGAGAGGCAAUCGGAAUGCCGGGUGUAGCGGUGAAAUGCGUAGAUAUACGGAGGAACACCAGUGGCGAAGGCGGAUUGCUGGACAGUAACUGACGCUGAGGCGCGAAAGCGUGGGGAGCAAACAGGAUUAGAUACCCGGGUAGUC
rnacentral:rRNA from 1 species